AUUGAACGCUGGCGGCAGGCCUAACACAUGCAAGUCGAGCGGAUGAAGGGAGCUUGCUCCUGGAUUCAGCGGCGGACGGGUGAGUAAUGCCUAGGAAUCUGCCUGGUAGUGGGGGAUAACGUCGGGAAACGGGCGCUAAUACCGCAUACGUCCUGAGGGAGAAAGUGGGGGAUCUUCGGACCUCACGCUAUCAGAUGAGCCUAGGUCGGAUUAGCUAGUUGGUGGGGUAAAGGCCUACCAAGGCGACGAUCCGUAACUGGUCUGAGAGGAUGAUCAGUCACACUGGAACUGAGACACGGUCCAGACUCCUACGGGAGGCAGCAGUGGGGAAUAUUGGACAAUGGGCGAAAGCCUGAUCCAGCCAUGCCGCGUGUGUGAAGAAGGUCUUCGGAUUGUAAAGCACUUUAAGUUGGGAGGAAGGGCAGUAAGUUAAUACCUUGCUGUUUUGACGUUACCAACAGAAUAAGCACCGGCUAACUUCGUG
rnacentral:rRNA from 1 species